CCCCUCUCAGGAUGGCACCUGGAGAGUUUCCAGUCCUCUACCAGUCUCAGCUACGGGAGGGAGAGUUAAACGGAGGCCUACCCAUUCCAUUCCUAGCUUGGCCAGUGGUUAGGGAAUGGUAGGCCAUCCGCUACAAGU